GCGCCGGUGGUGCAAGGUGCACUUCCCCGUUACGUAGAAGCCCUGAUACAUAUUGUCUAAUUCAGGGAAGAUCGGGGUUCGAUUCCCCGCCGGUGCA